rnacentral:rRNA from 1 species
GCUUGUCUCAMAGAUUAAGCCAUGCAUGUCUCAGUACAAACGUCUUGAACGUGAAACCGCGAACGGCUCAUUAGAACAGCUAUAAUUUACUUGAUCUUGAAACAGUUACUCGGAUAACUGUGGUAAUUCUAGAGCUAAUACAUGCACCAAAGCUGUCUCCUCUGGGGGCAGUGCAUUUAUUGGAGCAAAACCAAGCGGCUUCGGCCGUUAUUGGUGAGCCAGAAUAACUAAGCUGAUCGCAUGGGCUUGUCCCGGCGACGUGUCUUUCAAGUGUCUGCCUUAUCAACUUUCGAUGGUAGUGUAUUGGACUACCAUGGUGUUGACGGGUAACGGAGGAUAAGGGUUCGACUCCGGAGAAGGGGCCUGAGAAAUGGCCACUACGUCUAAGGAUGGCAGCAGGCGCGCAAAUUACCCACUCUCGGUUCGAGGAGGUAGUGACGAAAAAUAACGAGGCUGUUCUCUAUGAGGCCAGCCAUCGGAAUGGGUACAAUUUAAACCCUUUAACGAGUAUCAAUGAGAGGGCAAGUCUGGUGCCAGCAGCCGCGGUAAUUCCAGCUCUCAAAGUGCAUAGAACCAUUGCUGCGGUUAAAAAGCUCGUAGUUGGAUCUGUGCCGGUGACGUGGUCCACUCAAACGAGGCGGUACUACGCUCGCUGGCUUUGGGCCGGUCUUCGUGUCUGGUAGCCGUAAGGUUGCCCGGCAUGGCUGGCCGGUUUACUUUGAGCAAAUCAGAGUGCUCAGGACAGGCGUCUCGCCUGAAUGUUCGUGCAUGGAAUAAUAGAACAGGAUUUCGGUCCUCUUUUAUUGGUUUUGUGGACUGAGAUAAUGAUUAACAGAGACGAGCGGGGGCAUUCGUAUUGCUGCGCGAGAGGUGAAAUUCUUGGACC